AUUGAACGCUGGCGGCGUGCCUAACACAUGCAAGUCGCACGCGAAAGGGGGCAACCCCAAGUAGAGUGGCGGACGGGUGAGUAACGCGUAGGAAUCUACCUAGUAGUGGGGGACAACCCGGCGAAAGCCGGGCUAAUACCGCAUACGACCUAAGGGUGAAAGCAGGGGAUCGCAAGACCUUGCGCUAUUAGAUGAGCCUGCGUCCGAUUAGCUAGUUGGUGAGGUAACGGCUCACCAAGGCGACGAUCGGUAACUGGUUUGAGAGAACGACCAGACGCAUUGUGACUGAGACAGGGCCCAAACUCGUACGGGAGGCAGCAGUGGGGAAUAUUGGAGAAUGGGAGCAACCCUGAUCCAGCGACGCCGCGUGUGUGAAGAAGGCCUUCGGGUUGUAAAGAACUUUCGGCAGGGACAAACAAGACGGAGCUAACAUCUCCGUUCCUGAUGGUACCUGAAGAAGAAGCACCGGCUAACUCUGUGCCAGCCGCCGCCGUAA
rnacentral:rRNA from 1 species